ensembl:lncRNA
CCAGCAUUGACUCAACACCUGGGAGCAGAAAUGUCUAGCAGAAUGAAAGUCUAAUCCAAAGAUUCGUGUGCAGUGGGCAUCUGGACAUCAGUGUCCUCUCUGGAGGCAGAGCAGAGCACUGAUUAAUCAGAGGUGCCACAGGGAGGUUCUCCCACCAGGAACUAAGCCCCCUGCUGUGGAAGCUCGGAGUCCUACCCACUGGACCACUGGGAAUCCUCUCUUCACCAGUUUUUAAGUCACUUUCAUGUUAUGCAUCUAUACCGAUUGAAAGCAACUGAAUCACAGAGAAGAGCUGACAAGAGAGACGGAAGGGAAAGAUCACUUUGCUCCCCCUUUUGACCCACCAGCGCUGCUCAGUUAUUUGAGCCACUAAUCCUUUUUCCCUGAAGAUAGUUUAAAUUGGAUUUCUGGCAUGACCUAAACUAUCUUUGCUAAUAUAUCUCUCUCUGUAUGCUGUAUCUAUCUUUUUCUGCUGUGUUUCAUAAGUCACAGAUCCAGUGAUUUUCCUCAUUAUUCAUAUUUGAGUGAGGAUAAGUCUAGAUCGGGCUUCCCUAGUGGUUCAGUGGUAAAGAAUUCGCCUUCCAGUGCAGAAGACAUGGGUUAGAAAAUCCCCUGGAAUAGGAAAUGGCCCAGUCUAGUACUCUUGCCUGGAGAAUCCUGUGGACAGAGGAGCCUGGUGGGCUACAGUCCAUGGGGUUGCAAAUGGUCAGACACGACUGAAGCAACUUAGCACACACGCACUCACUAAUACUUUACUAAUCACCUCUAGGCCUGUUCCCAGUUAUGUGGGCUCCAAAGAAGGGGUCACCAUUCACCUAGCUCUCAGCUAGGAGGUUAAAAAGGCCUUGGCUUAGCCCCUCUUCCAUCUUGGACCGUCAAGUCUAAAGAGGCAGGUCUGGCCUUUCCUGGGUCAGUAAGGGGCACACACAGGUAGGGGCACAGAUGGUGGCCAAGAGCCCAAGCUUGCCACCCAUCUGCCAGCCUGGUUGUGUUUAGAGAAAGAUUCCGUUGUUGUGGUUCACGCUGGGCUUGACUGCGUGACUGCCUGGCACCCAGCCAGCGGGACAGACUUCCUCGUGUUCCCCUGUGAACUGUAAGGCCUGGACCAGCCGCAGAGCCUCAUUCACAGAGUACCCAACAGGCAAAUCACUGCGGGUGAUCUGGGGAUCACCCUUGCCAUCGAUGAUGAAGAGGCCCCUGUAGGCAAUGCCUUCGUCUUCCUAGGGACCAUAAUCAUGGGACCAAGUUUCUGGUUACAUGGGCCAGCAGGGGGAUGUUCAGGGGCCCAAGCCUCCCUCCUUCUGGGGGGUGUUGAUCCAAGCCAAGUGAGUGAACUGAGAGUCCACAGAGAUGCUCAGCACUUUGCAGUUCAGCUUCUGCAACUCCAUAGCAUGUUGCUGAAAGCGAUGAUCUCCAUGGGGCACACAAAGGUAAAUUGCAGAUGGGAGAAAAAGCAGGCCCUGUAUUAUCCUUUGUACUCAGAAAGCUUCACCUUCGUGAAGGCACCAUCCACCACUGGGGGAGCCUGGAAUUCCAGGGCGGGUUUUCCAAUACACGCGUUGCCGGAUGCCAUGACUAAAGCUGCGUGGCAAGGGUGGGUGCAUGGACUCUGAGAUGGGCUGACUCCUUUAAAGGCCCCCACUCCAGUAUUCUUGCCUGGGAAAUCCCAUGGACAGAGGAGCCUGGCGGGCGGCAGUCCAUAGGAUCACAAAAGAAUCGGACACAACUUAGCAACUAAACAAUAUCAACAAGUCUAGACCAGCAAACUACAGCCCAUGGGCCAUAUCUGGCCAGGGGCUAAUUUUGUUUUUAACAGCCCACAGGUUAAAAAUAGUUUUUACAUUUUAAUGCUUACAUUUUUAAAUAAUAAGAGCUUUCACUGUGCGUCUUGGCCCACAAAGCCAAAAAUGUUUAUCCAUCUGGCCCUAUAAGAAAAACUUGGCCAACCUCUGAUUUAGAAGGAUUUGAUAAUUGACUAUAAAUAUUCUGCGUUUAUUUUCUUUGGGUCUCUCACUAUUUACCUGGCUGCUCUUGGAGUCCUUCAUUAUGUGGGUUUAAAUAAUAAGUUCAGAAUGUCAGUUUUCUGCACAGAAUUGAGAGGAAGUCAGAGUCAUGGGUUGUCUCGUCUAGAAGUUCCUCCGGGUAGACUUUUAUCUAUUGUUUGUUCAAAUUUCUGUUCCAGGUAAUAGUUUUGGGGAUCUAUUCUCUUGUUUGGCUCGGCUUCUGCUUCAGGUUCAUGUGUCUGGCUUCCUUCCUGGUUGUUUUGUAAGUUGAAUUUCCUCAUGGGGUCAGUUGCCCCUAAAUAUAAGGGAACUUCUCUCAGCCCGGAGAUGAGCUUCUUGCUUUAAUGGGAUGUACAGUCAGGGAAAGACUUCUCCACAGGUUUUUCUGUUUUCAUGGCCUCCUUUUCAUUCCUCAACUAUGUGCAGGUGCUAUUAAUCUAUAGCAUUAAAAGAAAUUCCAUGUAGAAAUGGCCCUAUCUCUAAAAAAAAAAUAAAUAAAACGACACACACACACAAACUGCCUUUUCUAGGAGACUGUAUUUCUCUGUUUAGUGGGUAUUAGUGAGGAUCUGCUAGGAUUUCCUCUAUUCAGUUUUCAUGAUACUACACUAAUCUCUCAGAAAUGAAAGGUGUAGGUUUUAGUCUUAAAUUGAGUCCCAGGUGACAAUCGUCCAGCAGAAAUGAUUGUGGUAUACAUCCAUGUCGCCCUUCCCUUGUUUCAUCAAUGACAUGUGUUUUCAUCAUUGAUGUUAAUAUUCCUUUAUUUAAAUCAAUUACAUGGAGAUAGAGGAGUUGGUGUAUAUUUCUUUCACUCACACUCAAUCAUUGGAGGUUAACAAAAACUCACUAAUGACAGAAAACUUUUGUCAGAUUAUCAACUGGGAUCCCCAAAAGGCAUGGUUCGUGUCCCAGUAGUAAAGUCAUGAAUGGCGUGGAAACAAUCUGAGCUGAUUCUUAGGGGAAGGACUGAGACGGCUGGAGAUAAGAUAUUAUUGAUUGGCUCCACUAAUGCCAGGCAAAAG